GUCGCUUUGUCGGAGUGGUUAACGAGAUAGCCUGCUAAGCUAUUGCUCUUUGAGCGCGCAGGUUCGAAUCCUGCAGGCGACG
rfam:Mucor circinelloides f. circinelloides 1006PhL unplaced genomic scaffold supercont1.86, whole genome shotgun sequence.